GUCUACAGUCAUACCCCCCUGAACGCACCUGAUCUCGUCUAAUCUAGGAAGCUAAGCAGGGUCGGACCUGGUUAGUACUUGGAUGAGAGAAUACAGUGAAUAAAAUACAAGAGUUAGUAUAGUUU
rnacentral:rRNA from 1 species